rnacentral:rRNA from 1 species
UACGGGGGGGGCAAGCGUUGUUCGGAAUUACUGGGCGUAAAGGGCUCGUAGGCGGCCAACUAAGUCGGAUGUGAAAUCCCCAGGCUUAACCUGGGAAUUGCAUCCGAUACUGGAUGGCUUGAAUCCGGGAGAGGGAUGCGGAAUUCCAGGUGUAGCGGUGAAAUGCGUAGAUAUCUGGAGGAACACCUGCGGUGUAGACGGCUUACUGGACGGUAACUGACGCUGAGGCACGAAAGCGUGGGUAGCAAACAGG